rnacentral:lncRNA from 1 species
AUGAAAACCUCUGGGCACAGUACAGUGGGAGUGCAGGCUGCCAGGAUGGGGCAGAAGAGGCAAAGGGCUCCCUCGUGGGCCUGCCAACCAAAGACCACCCCUAGGGACUGGGACACCAUCCUCAUUACAGGGCAGGGCCCUGGUGGGAGAGGAGGCUGCCCCUGGCACUUCUUGCCCAGAUGCACCUUGCUGCUGGCCACAGCCAACUGGCAGCAGCACCACAAGGCCCAGCAAGGCAAGGGUGGUGGUGACAGGCGAGGGCAGAUGUGGGAGCGGAUGGACAUGUGGGGCUUGUUCUGGCUGUGCAGGAAGGCUGGUAAAGGCAGAAGAUGGUGGCAGAGGCACAGAAGGAAACAUUUCUUUAACCGAGAGACAAAGAUAAGGAAUCCAAGGAGAGAGAAGUACCACAGGGAACAGGACCACUCUGCGUCUUCUUCAAAUGGCAGCUGGGUGCAGGAGGGACCACACAAUUCUCCCACACAGAGACUGUGGCACAAGAGGUCUGAGGGGGCACACUGGUGGCAUGACAGCAGGAGGAGGAGGAGACACCACCGCUGCAUGAAACCUCUCCACCAAGCCAGGGCAGGUGGGCAGAGCAGCCCCAGAGAGGCUUUGCAGCACAGGCCUCCCCCAAGAAAUCAGCAGCCUCAGACCAUCCAUAUUGCCCGCAAGUGUUACCACAGUUUCUCCUUGGGACUGCAGCAGCCCUGUGAGCCAGCAACAGGCAGUAGUGGUAGAGUCUCGUGCAGUCCCCCACUCUGGAAUGUGAAGAAGCACUGCUGGGCAGACAGGUCCCACGUUCUUCCUGAGCUGCUGCAAGAGAUGACUAGGUACCUCCGCCCCAUGAACAUGGCAGGGUACUGCCUGCUGGGGAUGUGUGCGCCCCACAACACCAGCCAGUACAUUAUGGAUCAACAUCUGGACACAUGGAAAAAUGAGCAGGAAGAAGCAGUGGCAAUGUCCAGAGAGAACAGUAUUGACAGCAUCAUGGAUGAGAACUCUCUCACAGCCCCUCUCCCUUCCAUAGUCCAGAAUGAAGGAGACAUCUCUACAAAGGAAGAGGAGGACAAGAAGGAGAAGAGCAUGCAGCUCACCUACGAAGACUGGAAGUGCAAAGCUGAUAUCCACCAUGAAACCUAA